rnacentral:rRNA from 1 species
UACGUAGGUGGCAAGCGUUGUCCGGAUUUAUUGGGCGUAAAGGGCGCGCAGGCGGUUCGUUAAGUUCGAGGUGAAAUCUCCCGGCUCAACUGGGAGGGGUCUUCGGAUACUGGCGGACUUGAGGAGACGCAGAGGUGAGUGGAAUGCUGGGUGUAGUGGUGAAAUGCGUAGAUAUCUGGAGGAACACCGGUGGCGAAGCGGCAUCCUGGACCGGCAUGACGCGUGAGG